UACGUAGGGGGCAAGCGUUAUCCGGAUUUAUUGGGUUUAAAGGGUGCGUAGGCGGACUGUCAAGUCAGCGGUAAAAUUGAGAGGCUCAACCUCUUCCCGCCGUUGAAACUGGUGGUCUUGAGUGGAUGAGAAGUACGCGGAAUGCGUGGUGUAGCGGUGAAAUGCAUAGAUAUCACGCAGAACUCCGAUUGCGAAGGCAGCGUACCGGCAUCCAACUGACGUUGAGGCUCGAAAGCGUGGGGAGCAAACAGG
rnacentral:rRNA from 1 species